rnacentral:lncRNA from 1 species
GUGGCCGAUCAAGCAAAAAUGUCAGCAUUGACCCUGAGCAAUUUUAUUAGUUGUUGCCGCUCUGAGUCGGACAAUUGUGAUCCGAUUCGGACUGUUUUCUUUGGAUCUUCUUCUUUUAAUGGGAUGAAAACCAGUUGUUCCGCCGGUUCACCCCUCUCCUGAUUUUCUCUUUGGUCCAAUUUGUCAACAGGCAAAGAGUCUUUAGGUUUGUUAUUUUGAGUG